UGUUACAGUGAAAAUGUGUGUCGUGACUUUAUAGACUUAUUUUAGAAAUAAUAAUUGUUAAACAAUUAUAAAUUGUUAUUAAAUUGAUUAAUUAAAUUGUUGUGAACAAAUUGUGAUAUAAAUUAUUGCUGACUGUUGUGAAUUUUGUCAAAAAUUAAUGGACAUGUCAAUGGCGUUGAAGCUGACAAAGGCAAAUUUUAAUUUGUUAAAAAAUGGACAAAUGAUAUAUAACAAGAAGUGUGGCAGAAAAAUAUCUAAUGUACUAAUGCAAUUAAUCAAACAAUAUUAUUGAAAAUUGGUUUGUUAUUGGAGCCAAGAUCAUUUUGGAGCCUAUUGCAUUAAAUUUAUCCGGGGACAAAAACAUUCAGUAUUGCCAAUAUCUAUGUAAUGUCAGAUGAUUUACAUAAUUAAAAAAGAACAUGAAGAGAAAGUAACUGUUUAAUUUACAAUAACCAAGACUGCUUGAAUGAUAUAAAAUAUAACAUGAACAAUACCAAGCAAAUGAUUAUAGUGUUAAAAGUGUCAUUAAGUGCGUCGUUGAUUUUAGUUUGUGUUACCAAGUGCUUUAAAAAUUAAUCAAAUUGUUUAUAAACUAUUUGACAAUUUAACAAUCAUCAAAUACACUUAGACCAGCAACAAAAUGAAAAAUAAACCUAAUCAUCACGACAAUCUACAUGAUAUGCUUAUGCUUCAACAAUAAUAAUGAAUAAUCAUUACUCAAUUAAUUAUUUACAUGUUGCAUGUGCAAUUGAAUUUAAAAAAUAUCAAGUUUAAAUGAAAUCCAACACCUCAUGAGUUAUCUAAUAUGAUUUAUCAAUCUUUUCUAGACAAACAAUAACAUCACAUGGUGCUGGUAAUAAUGACUCUUAAGCUCUUUCUAAUGUACCACUUGUUGUUUUUAUAUUGGUGAAUAUUUAUCAAUUUUAAUUAAAAUUAAUUUUGGAAAAUCGCUGGUGAUGCUGAUAAAUCAUAACAUGUUGGCUUGAGCGUUGGGAGUGUCAAGAAAUUGCUGCCUCUACUGAAGAGCUUGCCUCUAUCGAAGAGCUUGCAUCUAUAGCAACGACGUGUAUAUUAUCAUCAACCCACGUGACAACCCAAGAGUCUCGAGACCUUCUUUUGAAAUUGAUAAACCACUUUUAAAUCAUAAAAAUAGCAUACUUAAAUAAACCAGUCAAAUCGUUUAUUAUCAAGUGAAUAAUUAUAAGAACAAUUUAUUGAAUCAUGAAGUACUUUAUAAACUAUAUGAGAAGAUAUUUGUUGUUUUUUUUUUUUUUUUUUUGUUACAAGUGGUGUGGUAGUGAAAAGUGUUUUAAAAAAGUUGUGGUGAAAAGGGAUGGUGAUCAUAGUUUUGUGUAUGUUGUUGUGUGUGAUCAUCGAACCUGUUGCUGAUCCAAUUGAUCCAUCACAUGAACUACAUGGAGUGCAGCAUCCUCUAGUCUUCAUGGAUUUCUUUUACAUAAUCGUUGAUGCAUUUGAAUGCUGCCUCUUAGAUCUUCUACAUAGGAGUUGAUGCUGCCUUCUAGAACUUCUAAAUAAGGUAAGAGACCCUCUGGUCAUUUUUUUAACCAAUCCCUCAGGGUAAAGUGCGUCAACAAGCUUGUAUCUUGGAAGAAUUUAUGAUAUAAUUCUUUCAAGCUACUUGAUAAUUAUUCCCAAUAUUUAUAUUUUAUAUAUUUUUGUGACUCGUAGCUCACCUUGAUCACUUUUUCUUUUUUUUUUCUUUUUUAAUUAUAAAUUUGAAUGCCAGAAGAGUUUAUUGAUCAAGGUGUGCACAUCAACCUGUCUAUCUCAAACAGAGUAGACGGGGGUGAAUAGGAUGUGUUUCAGGUAUUUGCAGAAAUGGAUUUCAAAUGUAAGACAUCAAUUUAUUUUUUCUAGAAAAGAUUAUUGAAUGUUUAUUUUAUUCCUUUUCAGGUUUUUUUUUAAAUCAUUUUUCAUGUUUAUUAUAUAUUUAUUUUUAUAAUAUUUAGAUUCAAGUAAUUUCUUGUUGAACGCACUUUACCAAAAAUAUUUUUUUUUAAUUGAAUGCGCCUUAUCAAUGCUUUGAUAACAAUGGCUGCAAAUAAUUUACGUUUGUCAUUUGAAGAUUUAGUGUGUGCAUAAAUAAUACA
rnacentral:lncRNA from 1 species